rnacentral:rRNA from 1 species
GCGAGGUUGGAUUGCCACGGGCGCAGCCUGAUGCAGCCAUGCCGCGUGUGUGAAGAAGGCCUUCGGGUUGUAAAGCACUUUCAGUCGUGAGGAAGGUAGUGUGUUUAAUAGAUGCAUUAUUUGACGUUAGCGACAGAAGAAGCACCGGCUAACUCCGUGCCAGCAGCCGCGGUAAUACGGAGGGUGCGAGCGUUAAUCGGAAUUACUGGGCGUAAAGCGCAUGCAGGUGGUGUGUUAAGUCAGAUGUGAAAGCCCGGGGCUCAACCUCGGAAUAGCAUUUGAAACUGGCAGACUAGAGUACUGUAGAGGGGGGUAGAAUUUCAGGUGUAGCGGUGAAAUGCGUAGAGAUCUGAAGGAAUACCGGUGGCGAAGGCGGCCCCCUGGACAGAUACUGACACUCAGAUGCGAAAGCGUGGGGAGCAAACAGGAUUAGAUACCCUGGUAGUCCACGCCGUAAACGAUGUCUACUUGGAGGUUGUGCCCUUGAGGAGUGGCUUUCGGAGCUAACGCGUUAAGUAGACCGCCUGGGGAGUACGGUCGCAAGAUUAAAACUCAAAUGAAUUGACGGGGGCCCGCACAAGCGGUGGAGCAUGUGGUUUAAUUCGAUGCAACGCGAAGAACCUUACCUACUCUUGACAUCCAGAGAACUUUCCAGAGAUGGAUUGGUGCCUUCGGGAACUCUGAGACAGGUGCUGCAUGGCUGUCGUCAGCUCGUGUUGUGAAAUGUUGGGUUAAGUCCCGCAACGAGCGCAACCCUUAUCCUUGUUUGCCAGCGAGUCAUGUCGGGAACUCCAGGAGACUGCCGGUGAUAAACCGGAGGAAGGUGGGGACGACGUCAAGUCAUCAUGGCCCUUACGAGUAGGGCUACACACGUGCUACAAUGGCGCAUACAGAGGGCGGCCCAACUUUGC